UAGUCCACGCCGUAAACGAUGAUUACUGGUUGUGCGCGAUACACAGUGCGCGACUGAGGGAAACCAUUAAGUAAUCCACCUGGGGAGUACGUUCGCAAGAAUGAAACUCAAAGGAAUUGACGGGGGGCCCGCACAAGCGGAGGAACAUGUGGUUUAAUUCGAUGAUACGCGAGGAACCUUACCUGGGCUUAAAUGUAGAGUGCAUUAUUUGGAAACAGAUAUUUUCUUCGGAACUCUUUACAAGGUGCUGCAUGGUUGUCGUCAGCUCGUGCCGUGAGGUGUCGGGUUAAGUCCCAUAACGAGCGCAACCCCUACUGCUAGUUGCCAUCGGGUAAUGCCGGGGACUCUAGCGGGACUGCCGGUGUAAACCGCGAGGAAGGUGGGGAUGGACGUCAAAUCAGCACGGGCCCUUAUGUCCAGGGGCUACACACGUGUUAC
rnacentral:rRNA from 1 species